ACAGCUGACAGGCAAAUCUGAGUCAAUUUUGUUACUGAAACGCGACCGCGCAGCGAAAUGAUCCCGAAAAUCAAAUAAAAACUAUGAUCUCAUAAUAUUCAAAUAAAUUCAAAUGUGGUUUCUACUCAUUCCGUGUUAUUUCAUUUAAUUUUAAUGUUACAUACUUAAAGUUUUUCUUGUGCAAAAUUGUAACAUCAAGGAAACAUGCAGCAGUCUCCUUUCGAAAAUAUAUUCAAUAUUAUAGGUGGGAUAACGGAAGGGAACGAGAAACCCAUGAAACAUGGCUUCUAUAACGCCUUUGCCCUAUUUAUAUUGGCAAUAUGUUGUGCCGCAAUGUAUGUUUUAUACCUCAUCUUGGAGCCUUUUUUCAAGCCUUUAUUUUGGGCUCUGUUAGUGGGCUCCUUACUCCACCCAUUCAAAUAUAAGCUGUCUAAGAAACUGAAGUCAUGGUUCGAAGAUUUAGAGAAGACCAACACUUCUGUGGUAGUUGGUUUGAUGAUUAUACCAGUGAAUGUGGUCAACUAUGCUUCUGAUACUGUUGGACAGCAGUUCAUAGAUCAUUAUAAGACUGUAAUAGGACUGUUAUCUGCGAUAUUUGUGUUGCCGUGGCUGUACAACUCGGUGCCAAGAAGUCUGGUUUGCUUAUUCUGGCAAUUCAGCAGCUUCAUCAGCUUCUCCACUACUUUACUCAUCAGUGUCUGCAGCUCAUAUAUUACUUUAACAAUAUUCUUAGCUUACAUUAUAAGCGUGUACAUACUAUGGACACCGCAGAGGGCAUCUAUAUUUCGCAUGACGUCACAACUGUUAUGGCUAGUCAUUUCGAGUUUUAUCGCGAGCCUCACUGGACCGCUGCAAGUUUACACCUUUGUCUUCCUACAAGCAAUCUGCAUCACAGGCUUUGCUUUAGAAGUGAUUGACAUACAUAACAAGAUGUUGGAAAAAGAUCCAGAAGCUUCCAUGAUAGUAGCAUUACACAAAGCCAUAACGUAUGAACAUGAAACGGAAAAAAAGCCUGAGGAAAAUCCUGAAGAGGAUACUCACGUAGAGUCCAGUGAGCAAGAAGGUACUCCAGAAAAAGAUACUCCGUCCCCCGUUACGCCAGAAACAUCAGGUAAAAGGGGAAGCUGGGCUCCUACUGAUGCCACACAAACUUCCCCACGGCAUGCUAAAAUGUUAUUCAAAACGAGAACACUGUCCGCAUUACCUUUGUCGAAUCCGAAAAUUAAAUACGAUACCCGAUUGUUGGCAGCCUUCAAACAAAGGUCGCUUGACGAGAAUUAUAUGAAAAAUAACUUCGAUAACGAUGAAGAAACAGCAAUAUACUUCAAGCUUCUAUUCUUUGGAUGUUUGUGUAUGCUGGUGUGGAAGCAUAUCUGGUUAUUACCAGUAACGUUGUUCUUUUUGGCCAUCCAUGUACUGAAAAGGUUGUUGGACUACUUUGGUGUGUGGCUGUUCUUUGAGAAUCAUUACAACAAUGUUAUGGGCAAAAUUAAGGCCUGGUGGAAAUUGAGGCAAUCAGCAUUACUCCCCGCACACGUGCUCGGCUUGGGCAAGGUGGCCUCAGUCUGUAACACAAGCUUCAGAAACAUGGCGUACAGCUCCGUAGACACAGUAUCAACGUGCAUCGUCAUUGUAGGACUAAUCCUCUUCCUUACCUUCGCUAUUAUCUUCAUAUUUAUCCAGAUAUACUCAGAAGCGAUAGUAGUGGUCCAACUGAGUGGUAGUCUGUUGAACAGUACUUAUGUUCAGAACAGUGAAUUGCAUGCGUAUCUGCCUGAAGGUUGGGAGGAGAAACUUGACUCACUCAUUGAUAACGCUUACACUUAUGGGAGGGAAGGAAUCUCAACUGCGGUUAAAAGUUUACUAAAAGAAGGCGACCCGGAAAAGAUACAACGGGUAGAACAUCAAAUCCUAGAGCUUUGGGACCGAGUGUACCAGAGUUGGGUGUCGGGGCACUUUGCGUCGGCCGGCGGGCCUCAGGUCGACGGCUCGGCCAUACAGGACUCCUGGGAUAGCUUCGUUAACGACGUGUCUAAUACUCCCGCUAUGUUCGACUUCUCCGGCAUAGCAGCAUGGGUUCAAGCAAACGUCGGUACUCUGAGUGCCAUCGCGACCAGUAUCUGGGCUCCUCUAGCAAGCAACGUGUCUCUCUUAGCUGGGUCUCUAGGCGCCUUCACUUCGCUGUUACUGUGUGGCGGCAGUGCCCUCAUUAAUAUGUUUAUUAAUUUGGUGGUGUUCUUCACAACAUUAUUCUAUCUGCUGGCUUCAAGUAACGCGCUCUACAAACCAGUGGAAGCGAUCACUCAGAUGCAACCCAACUUCGGACCCAGGCUCGGCAUAGCAUUGUCUGUGGCUAUCAAUCAGGUGUUCAGGGCUUCAUUCAAGAUGGCGUUGUUCUACGGUCUCUGGACGUGGCUUGUGCAUAACCUGUUUGGCGCCAAAGUCGUCUAUCUACCGUCAGUGUUAGCGGCGGUGUUAGGGGCGGCUCCGUUCCUAGGUCCGUACUUGGCGGGAAUUCCGGCGGCUUUGGACGUGUGGCUGCAAGGCAGGCCGAUGGCUUCGUUGUUGUUGCUCAUAGCUCAGGCCGCGCCUAUCGCCUUCCUCGACGCCGCUGUCUAUGCUGAGAUUAAAGACGGAGGCCACCCCUACGUGACUGGUCUGGCUAUAGCCGGCGGUAUAUUCUACCUGGGUCCCGAAGGCGCGAUCCUUGGGCCGCUGCUCCUCUGCUGCAUCAUGGUUGUGCUCAACUUGUCUUCCACAUUCCUAAGGGACACGCCUUCUGAGGAGAGAGCGGCCCUGCACUCGCGUGUCAGGUAAAUCUUACGGUUGGUCGGAAUCAGUCUUGCGUUUGUCCAUGAUAGAACAAAAUUUCAAACUUAAAAAAAAGAUAUGAUCUUCCCUGCCUCUACACUGUAUGGUCAAUAACAAAAGUUUUUAAUAAAAUCUCCAUGCUGUGUUCAGCUGCUCAAGUAAUUCUCUCGUGUCCAUAGUAUUUUGAACUUAACGAUACAUUUUUCGAGAACGCCAGCAAAGUGUCAUCUCACUAACAUAGUUUUAGUGCAUUUAUUGAAAUCCAUACAAAAACAUCAGCUUAAAGAGUAGGCCACAUUACUCUUAGGCGAAUUUCACUGUCAUAAUACCUACUAUUUGAGAGAAGGCUUAUUCUGUUCUAUCGUGGACUAUGCGCUUGUAUAAACGUAUUGUGUGUACCAAAUGACUGAUUCCUACGUUUAUCGAGUUUGGAAUGAACAUCCCAAUAGGAAUGCUGACAUUUUUGCCAUGGAAUUGUAAUCAACUACAAACUGACAAGUGGUUGUUUUUAAAUAUGCUGUUGAACUUUUCAAAAGUUUUAAAAAUAACUUACAUUAAAAGAAAUAUUUGGUUUUUCGCUUGCCUCAUAAGCAGAAGUGAUAAUUUGUGCCUCUUACUCAAUAAAUACGCCAAGCGUUUACUUGGAUAAUGUUAGUUCAACAGUAUAUACAGCUAAGCUGUUCCCUUUAAAUUGUGUUAAAACUAUUAUCCUUAUAAAACUCUAUACUUAAAAAUAUAUAAUAUAUCUUCUUGUGGUUAAAGAAAACGCACAAAAUAAUCUUUAAAUACAAUGAUAUCUCAUGUGUACUUUAAUUACCAUGGAGAACAAAAUGAUGAGCGGAGAUGUUAUAGUGGAAAUUCUUCUAAGUAAGUCGCCAAAAUACGGGUAUUCGAGGGACGAAGAACGUUACUGACUCCGCCCACAUGGCCUUCUUGGGAACCCUUUGUAGAAGCAAAAAUCUUCGACAGAUGUGUCAACGCCACUCGUAACUCACUCGUAACUGAUCGGUUUGGUGACGCCCACCGUUCAUUUAUUUGACCUAAGAAGAAGAAUUAGACGGCGCAUAAUUGACCUACCUGCCUCAUGGCAUCUCCGCUCAUCUUUCCUUCCUCCGUGUCAAUUACCUGUUUCGUAUAAUUCGAGAUUUUGAAGUAGUACUGUCUACUUAUGACUUUCUCUGAUGUUUUGUUAAUUUAGGUAGUUGUUGGGAUGUUUUUAAGAUAAGAUACGGUGCUUAUCUCUGAUCGGCUUGCAUGGACCACUAACUUGUAACGAGGUCAUCCCAUUUGUCAAUUUGAUAUAAGCAAUAUAUGUAACAGCUCAACACCAAAUGUCAAGAAUAACUUGCAUCAUACAUUUACACUGCGGGACAAAUUAAUGGGACACUGAUAUACAUUUAAUUUGAACUAGUAGAAAAUAAGUAAAACAUACAAAAAGUACUCCCUUGAAUUUGUUCCCACGUGUAUUUAUUUGUAUUAUAAUUAUAAUAUUUCAUCAAUUAGCGUCAAACAUCGCACGCAGUUAUUAUGUUUAAGCUAUUCACUGACAAAUGUGUCUGUGUUCUACUAUGCCAAAGAGAAGCUAACGACCGAUCUCUUUAGGAACAAUUGCAUGUGCCGUUGAAUGUUGUAAACGUAUAUCAAAAUAUAUAUGUAUGUACUUAUUUAUAUAACGUGUAUACAGACACCUUAUGAUCGUUGAAUCAAAUGUAUUGUUGUGAUGAGUAGGCCAAAACUUGCAGCCAAUCACCAGUAGUCGUAAACAUUAUAUUGAAUUCGAAAAGCAUUGAAAAUGCGAUGGAUUCUAGGGUUGCAAUUGUACUAAACCCACUAUAACUCACCUGACACCGUUCGCUCAUAUGUUUUUUAAAUGCGAGUAACAUUUUGUCGUUUGAAGUUGACAGACUUAAUGAGAAAUAGUGUAAGUGGGUCCCAAUGUACGCGACACUUAAUGCAAUGCUCAAUGUACUUGUUGUUAAACACAAGUUUCGUUUGUGCACUAAGAUAAUAAUUUUAGCACUCAGUAUUACAAAUUAUUUGGAGAUUAAUAUUUUAUUUUAAUAUUUAUAACAGAAUAUUGUGUGUAUUUUUGUUGUUGUCUUUCGUCUCAAAUAUAUUAACUAUUAAUUUAUUAACCGUUUAUGUUGUCAAAAAUUGUCAAAGUAUGUUUUGUUAAACGUUAACGUUUAUUGGGUUAAUAUAUCCGCCUUAUUUUCUUCCGCAAUUUACAAUGCAAUGCAGUUCAAAUAGCAAUCGACAAUGACCAUGGAACUUUUAGUCAGUAGUUAUUUAUUCAGAGAUUUUUAACAUAUUUAUCUAUUAUUUAUUUAUGUAUUUAUAUUUAUAUGGAAUUAUAUAUAGAUUUAGGAGUACCUAAGUAUUAACUUUCACAAAAGCAACGAUAAAAUAAAUAAUGAAAUUAAAAAAAAAAAAAACUAAAUCAGAUUUGGGUAAUUAGAAAUGCUACAAUGAAUUUUAAUUCGUUCAGCCACGGUUAAGUUUGAAGCCAUAAUGAAAUUGAGAUAUAAUAAUUUUGAAUGUAUUAUUGAGAUUCUGUACAAAUUUUAAAAUCAGUAGAAAUAUUCUGUGUACAUAUUUAUGAUAUUGACACUUAUAAGCUUUGAGUUACCAAAACUUCUUAUCCGUGACUGCACUAAUAAGGUAUAUAGAUAUAUACAAGAUAAAAUUACUUUUUUGAUACAUUCUGUCAUAUUUUAUUGUCUGUAAUAUUUUAUUUUAUUCAAAGGGACUGAAAUACAAAUCUUUCCUAGUCUUUAUAUUUUAUUGUAUCUGUAUAGUUUUUUUAUUGAUGAUAUUACUGAAAUGACAGUGAAAACACUAUAGAAAAAAUAUUGUUGGUCAAUGUAGUGGCACGAUAGUGUAAAAAUCUGGACUAAAUAAGUCUUUUUCUAUUAUUGCAAUAUUUCGAUGUAAUAGUGUAUGCUUUACAAGUGAGCGUGUUUCACCACUCUUUGACUUAUCAUAUGUAUAUGUUUUAUUAAUAUUAGGAACAUCUUUGAGAUUAUUUAUUUGAGGUUAUUUCGUGCUCUCUUUAUAUUAUGUAUAUUGUCAUUUUAAAAUAACUUAUAUAGAUUUACAAAAUCGACUUUAAAAAUAUAAUUGGAUAGUGCCUGACAUACACGAGUCCACAUAAGCAUAUUUUACAAGGGUUGUUAUACAUUUUUUAAAGAAAGUUGUGAUAUGUGUGACAUACAAAAAGGUUGUAUUUGUUCCAAAAUAUAGUAUUGCAGUGUGGUCGUACUAAAAAAUAUAAAGUGGUGAAACAAGGCCAAAACGUGAUGGUUGAUUUAAUGAAAAUGGUGCUUUUUGAUGAUAUUAGACGUUAUCUCGAAUCGAGUCUCCGUUGCUAUAAAUUUUGUAAUGGCCUUUUAUAGGUAAGGGCCUUUAUUUUAUUAUAAAGCUAUAGCUGUUCGUAAAAUUGACGUUUUCUAUUAAUAAGGUCACAUUGUUUGUAUAUUUUGUAUUAUUUUAAUGUUUGCAAUCUUAUUGUUUGUUGUGAAGUACUUACUAAAGCUAUUUAUACGCCUGGACGGUUAGAUAACAUAAUUAUACCUAUUCAAUAUAAGGGUAGCUAUAUUUCUACCAUAUUCACCCUAAGACCUAAUACUAUAUAGAGUUCAUAAAACCCAGGUUAUCCUCCCGGGGUGUUCUUAAUAUUUUUUAAAUUGGAAUGAAUCUCGAAUAAAAAUGUAUGACCAUUGUGUAAAAUAUUUUAAACUUAUAAAAGAAAAAAUAGCUACCCAGUUCAACCUUAAAAAUAAAUCUAUAAGCUAUACUACCUACAGAUUAAAAUAUAACAAAAAAAAAAUAGUUGUAAAUGAAUGAAACAGCAAAGCCCUUACCAGUUCGUGAAGAAUCGUCCAAAGAUUAAUUUAGAUGCAUCUGUACUAUAUUGUAUUGCAGGUAUUUAUAAUUAGUUUGUAUCUACAGCACGCAUAUUCGCAUUGUUAACUAAAACUUAUAUACUUAAUAUAUUAUUUGCUUUUUUAA